rnacentral:rRNA from 1 species
AGAGUUUGAUCAUGGCUCAGAUUGAACGCUGGCGGCAUGCUUUACACAUGCAAGUCGAGCGGCAGCGCGGGGGCAACCCUGGCGGCGAGCGGCGAACGGGUGAGUAAUGCAUCGGAACGUACCCUGGAGUGGGGGAUAACGCCGCGAAAGCGGCGCUAAUACCGCAUAUGCUCUGAGGAGGAAAGUGGGGGGACCGCAAGGCCUCACGCUCUGGGAGCGGCCGAUGUCCGAUUAGCUAGUUGGUGGGGUAAAGGCUUACCAAGGCGACGAUCGGUAGCUGGUCUGAGAGGAUGAUCAGCCACACUGGGACUGAGACACGGCCCAGACUCCUACGGGAGGCAGCAGUGGGGAAUUUUGGACAAUGGGGGCAACCCUGAUCCAGCCAUGCCGCGUGAGUGAAGAAGGCCUUCGGGUUGUAAAGCUCUUUUGGUCGGGAAGAAAGCGCCUUGCCUAAUACGCGAGGUGGUUGACGGUACCGGCAGAAUAAGCACCGGCUAACUACGUG